GGUCCUGCGAUCGCUGCCCGGGUGCUGGGAGAGGGACAGCGGGAAGGACGACGAAAUCCCAGAUCGUUCUCUCUUCACCAGCGAACCCAGCACAGUUACCGGCAGAAAAACUUACAGGCAGGGUCACCCCGCCUGAGUCACCGACGGUGACGGAAAGCGGCGACCGAGCCCUGUCCCGGGAUCGCCCCCCGCGCUGCCUGCGGCCUGCCUGGAAACCGAGGGGGAGAAAAGGGGGGGUGAUACCAAGCCCAAAACCACCCGGGACAGUUUUAUUCCGAGCUUUCCAUAAACUGUCCUGAAAUAAAGUGAAGACACUCCG